rnacentral:tRNA from 1 species
GGGCCCAUAGAUCAGUGGAAGAUCGCCGUCUUCGCAAGGCGGAGGCCGUGGGUUCAAAAAGGUGUAAGUAGUAAGGUGUAAGUAAACAUCAUUUAAACCUUUUAAACCUUGAAAUUCCCACUGGGUCCA